AGCAAACGAGUAGAGCAAACGGCAAUGGCAGGGUAGUGCAACAAAGAACUUAUCAAGUCCGCACACAAGCGUGUAAUAUAGAUUGACAGCUCUUUCUCGAAUCUAUGGAUUGUGGUGCAUGGGCGUUCGUAGUUCGUGGAGUGAUUUGUCUGGUUAACUCCGACAAUGAACGAGACUCAAAUAUAUUAAAUAGAUGUUUUCAAGGGUAUGAUGUUGAAGCUUUUAUGACGUUCCUUUAGGAACAUACCAAAUUUUUUCAGUGUUUAAAUAUGUUUAUGAAAGUGGAGCUGUACCUGUUGGGUUGUCGUUUUGUAACGCAUUAACUUCUAAUAGGCGAAUGGGAUAUAAUGAGAUUGACAAUAAUGAGAUUGAGCAAUGACAGGUUUGGGUCUUUUAGAUGUCCUGGGCUGUACGCAUGCUACAAUAAAUCAAUGUGCGUAUCAAUAUGUAUUUCCUAGACCGAGAGAUGCGGGUAAACCGCUGAACCACUUUCAUGCUUGCGAUUGUGAACCGAAACUGUUCGCAUGAAGUUGGAACGUCGAGUAAGUCUGGAUCAUUAGUUCACAUUGACCACGUCCUUGCU
rfam:Glossina morsitans morsitans, isolate Yale, WGS project CCAG01000000 data, contig: ctg10015928